rnacentral:pre_miRNA from 1 species
UCUUAUAAAUAAGCAAAGAAAGUAGUUUAUUGAGAUGGAAUCUACUCCUAGUGAAGAUACUGUGAA